UACGUAGGUGGCAAGCGUUGUCCGGAUUUACUGGGCGUAAAGAGCGCGCAGGCGGUCCUUCAAGUCGCGUGUGAAAGCCCCCGGCUCAACUGGGGAGGGUCACGCGAUACUGAUCGACUCGAAGGCAGAAGAGGGAAGUGGAAUUCCCGGUGUAGUGGUGAAAUGCGUAGAUAUCGGGAGGAACACCAGUGGCGAAGGCGACUUCCUGGCCUGUUCUUGACGCUGAGGCGCGAAAGCUAGGGGAGCAAACGGG
rnacentral:rRNA from 1 species